GCUUCCAGGCAGGGGAGGGGCCGCGCUUGGUGGCAAUAAAGGGGCUUUUCCCAAGGGGGGGCGGCCAUGUUGGUGACGGAGCCUGGGAGAGCGCCUGGAAGUUGUCCCCAGAAGGUAGACACGCGCACACCCCCCCCAAAAGGAGAUGCCCAUCUCCUCCGUGGUGCUGAGGCAGCAGCACGUGGAGAGCAAGGGACUGGGCUCCGGUCCUCCAGCGAUGGUUCAGGUUCCGUUGUGAAAGCGCAGCCCAGCAGGAUGGAAAUGGUGCUCUCUUUUUCUCCCCAGCUGCCGUCGCAUCCUCUCCUUUCCCCUCCAGGGAUGUGCAGGUUUUCUCCACGUUGCUCUGAGGGCAGCUUCCCAGCUCUUGUCCCAGCAAGGGGAGGUUCCUGGCUGUGGAGGCCGUGGAGAAGGUCCCUCAGCUGGAAUCAUCCCUGUGAUGGUCCCUGUCCCAGCGCAAGUUUGGGCUGAUUGCAGUGCCACGGCUGGAAAAUCUUCAUGCUCAUGGUGUUUAGACUACGUCGUGGACAGACGAGGAGUUGGUCGUCUCUGGCAAGAGGUCGUUGCGUUUUCCUCCAGUAUCUCGUAGUCUGCUGUCAGAUGGAUUUCUGUGAAGGGAGUGAGACUCUGAGCAAAAACUGCUACAGGUUUUUGGGGCUCUUUGCCCACACGCGGACCCCGUGGAUGGCUUCAGGUCCCGCCAUUUCCCUCCCUCUGCUCACCCCAUCCCCAGACCUGGCCAGCAGCAGGGUUCAGCUCUGCCAGGCCCACCCACAAAGCCCCUCUCUUCCCACCCGGCCUGGAAACCAGCACCCAGCUGCAAACACACACUGUCCUCUCGGGCCAAGAGCAGCCUCCUGCUUUGUUAGGCCUUCUAAAUGCUGCCAAAUAACGUGUGUCUGCA